rnacentral:rRNA from 1 species
AUUGAACGCUGGCGGCGUGCCUUACACAUGCAAGUCGAACGGCAGCAUGGAGAGCUUGCUCUCUGAUGGCGAGUGGCGAACGGGUGAGUAAUGCAUCGGAACGUACCGUGUAAUGGGGGAUAACGUAGCGAAAGUUACGCUAAUACCGCAUACGACCUGAGGGUGAAAGCAGGGGAUCGCAAGACCUUGCGUUAUACGAGCGGCCGAUGUCAGAUUAGCUAGUUGGUGAGGUAAAGGCUCACCAAGGCGACGAUCUGUAGCGGGGCUGAGAGGAUGAUCCGACAGACUGGGACUGAGACACGGCCCAGACUCCUACGGGAGGCAGCAGUGGGGAAUUUGGGACAAUGGGGGCAACCCUGAUCCAGCCAUGCCGCGUGAGUGAAGAAGGCCUUCGGGUUGUAAAGCUCUUUCGGCCGGGAAGAAAUCGCACAGGCUAAUACUCUGUGUGGAUGACGGUACCGGCAUAAGAAGCACCGGCUAACUACGUGCCAGCCGCCGCGGUAA